GUGGGGAAUCUUAGACAAUGGGGGCAACCCUGAUCUAGCCAUGCCGCGUGAGUGAUGAAGGCCUUAGGGUUGUAAAGCUCUUUCAGUGGGGAAGAUAAUGACGGUACCCACAGAAGAAGCCCCGGCUAACUCCGUGCCAGCAGCCGCGGUAAUACGGAGGGGGCUAGCGUUGUUCGGAAUUACUGGGCGUAAAGCGCACGUAGGCGGAUCGGAAAGUUGGGGGUGAAAUCCCAGGGCUCAACCCUGGAACUGCCUUCAAAACUAUCGGUCUGGAGUCCGAGAGAGGUGAGUGGAAUUCCGAGUGUAGAGGUGAAAUUCGUAGAUAUUCGGAGGAACACCAGUGGCGAAGGCGGCUCACUGGCUCGGUACUGACGCUGAGGUGCGAAAGCGUGGGGAGCAAACAGGAUUAGAAACCCUAGUAGUCC
rnacentral:rRNA from 1 species